rnacentral:rRNA from 1 species
CGGCGAGUGAAGAGGGAAGAGCCCAAGAUUGAAAGCUGGCGUCCUCGGCGUCCGCAUUGUAAUCUCAAGAAGUGUUUUCCGCUUCGGACCAAGCCUAAGUCCCCUGGAAAGGGGCAUCAUAGAGGGUGAUAAUCCCGUACAUGGCUUGGAGCGCCCGAGGCUUUGUGAUACGCUUUCUAAGAGUCGAGUUGUUUGGGAAUGCAGCUCAAAAUGGGUGGUAAAUGCCAUCUAAGGCUAAAUAUUGGGGAGAGACCGAUAGCGAACAAGUACCGUGAGGGAAAGAUGAAAAGCACUUUGGAAAGAGAGUUAAACAGUACGUGAAAUUGUCGAAAGGGAAGCGCUUAAAGUUAAACAUGCCUGCUGGGAUUCAGCCUUGCUUUUGCUUGGUGUAUUUCCCAGAUUGCAGGCCAACGUCGGUUUUGGGCACUGGAGAAGGGUAGGAGGAACGUGGCACCUCUCGGGGUGUGUUAUAGCCUCCUACUGGAUACAGCGACCGAGACCGAGGACAGCAGCGUACUCGCAAGAGCGGGCCUUCGGGCACCUUUACGCUUAGGGCGUUGGCAUAAUGGCCCUCUACCACCCGUCUUGA